GCGCCUGUGGUUUAGUGGUAAAAUCCAUCGUUGCCAAUCAUAACUCUCGAUUCCGAGAGCUAAUGAAGAACCUCGAUGGGCCCCGGAUUCGAUUUCCGGCGGGCGCA